rnacentral:rRNA from 1 species
GAUCCUGGCUCAGGACGAACGCUGGCGGCGUGCCUAACACAUGCAAGUCGAACGGAAAAUUGAGCUUCGGUUCAAUUUUUAGUGGCGAACGGGUGAGUAACGCGUAGGCAACCUGCCCUUUAGACGGGGACAACAUUCCGAAAGGGAUGCUAAUACCGGAUGUGACGCUUCUAUCGCAUGAGGGGAGCGUGAAAGAUGGCCUCUACAUGUAAGCUAUCGCUAAAGGAUGGGCCUGCGUCUGAUUAG